CUCUCGGCAACGGAUAUCUCGGCUCACGCAUCGAUGAAGAACGUAGCAAAAUGCGAUACUUGGUGUGAAUUGCAGAAUCCCGUGAACCAUCGAGUUUUUGAACGCAAGUUGCGCCCGAAGCCUUUUGGCCGAGGGCACGUCUGCCUGGGCGUCACGCAUC
rnacentral:rRNA from 1 species